rnacentral:rRNA from 1 species
GACGAACGCUGGCGGCGUGCCUAAUACAUGCAAGUCGAGCGGACAGAAGGGAGCUUGCUCCUGGAUGUUAGCGGCGGACGGGUGAGUAACACGUGGGUAACCUGCCUGUAAGACUGGGAUAACUCCGGGAAACCGGAGCUAAUACCAGAUAGUUCCUUGAACCGCAUGGUUCAAGGAUGAAAGACGGUUUCGGCUGUCACUUACAGAUGGACCCGCGGCGCAUUAGCUAGUUGGUGAGGUAACGGCUCACCAAGGCGACGAUGCGUAGCCGACCUGAGAGGGUGAUCGGCCACACUGGGACUGAGACACGGCCCAGACUCCUACGGGAGGCAGCAGUAGGAAAUCUUCCGCAAUGGACGAAAGUCUGACGGAGCAACGCCGCGUGAGUGAUGAAGGUUUUCGGAUCGUAAAGCUCUGUUGUUAGGGAAGAACAAGUGCAAGAGUAACUGCUUGCACCUUGACGGUACCUAACCAGAAAGCCACGGCUAACUACGUGCCAGCAGCCGCGGUAACAC